rnacentral:tRNA from 1 species
GGGGUGUAGCUUAAUUGGUUAGAGCGUGCGGCCUUGACCCGCAAGAAUCCAGUUCAAAACUGGACACCUCCGCCA